CUUCAGCGAUCCGAACCACAGCGGACGGCCGUUCUCGCGGCCCGCUCCGUAGACGUCGACGAGUGUCUGGGCCUC
rnacentral:antisense_RNA from 1 species